AGAAGCCGGAUGCAGAAUUGGUGUCAUGAGCCACGGCUUCAGGGGGUAGCCACUAUCACCUAUAGCCUACCGGAAAUCAGCCACAUCUGUGUCACUGUCUGCAGUGCAGUCAUGAUUAGAGAGGAGCUAUCUGAUGUGUCAGAAUGCUUCUGAUACGGGACCAUGAUUAACCUUUUCUGUCUAGCGUUGGUGCUCCUCUGGGCCUUGACCGGGGCCUCAAAUGGUAAAACAAUCCUGGUGGCCCCUGGCAGUGAUGUGGCUGUACGUUGUGAGGACAGUGAGUCGGGCUGGAGCCCACUGAGGGGCAAUAGCAUUGAGCUGAAGCUGGACAACACAGCUCAUCUCCUGGUGCA